rnacentral:rRNA from 1 species
GGACUACCCGGGUAUCUAAUCCUGUUUGCUCCCCUAGCUUUCGUGCAUCAGCGUCAGUUAUGGUCCAGUGAGCCGCUUUCGCCACAGGUGUUCCUUCCGAUAUCUACGCAUUUCACCGCUACACCGGAAAUUCCACUCACCUCUCCCAUACUCAAGCCCGGCAGUUUCUAGUGCAGACUUCGAGUUGAGCCCGAAGAUUUCACACCAGACUUGCCAAACCGCCUACGCACCCUUUACGCCCAAUAAUUCCGAACAACGCUUGCCCCCCUCGUAUUACCGCGGCUGCUGGCAC